rnacentral:misc_RNA from 1 species
AACGCACGAGACCUGCGGACCUGCGGAGGGAUCAUUACCGAAUAAGCAGGGGGGGGGGGCCUGUGCCGUUCGUUGAACGUGCACGGCCUGCCUCUCUCUCCUUCUCUCACACACACCCGUGCACGGAAGGGGAAGGGGGGUUUCCUCCUCCUUCCCCCCAUAAAAGAAAACGCCUUUUUGAAACUGAGAGCCACAAACGUGUGCAACCUUUGACAACUUUCAACAAUGGAUCUCUAGAUC